UACGUAGGGGCCUAGCGUUGUCCGGAAUUAUUGGGCGUAAAGAGCUCGUAGGCGGUUCGGCAAGUCGGAUGUGAAAUCUCCACGCUUAACGUGGAGGGGCCAUUCGAAACUGCUGUGACUCGAGUCCGGUAGGGGAGUGUGCAAUUCCCGGUGUAGUGGUGAAAUGCGUAGAUAUCGGGAGGAACACCAGUGGCGAAGGCGACUACCUGGCCUGUUCUUGACGCUGAGGCGCGAAAGCUAGGGGAGCAAACGGG
rnacentral:rRNA from 1 species